rnacentral:rRNA from 1 species
CGAUCUUGAGUCAGGCGGCUCGGGUAUUGCGGGGGGUGCGGUGGGUAAUCUGCAUUACUGGGCGUAAGGCGUACUCAGAAGGUUGCGUAAGGCAUGUGUGGACGCCCCGGGGUCAGCCUGGGAAUGUCAUUUGGGAAUGCGAAGCUAGGGUGCGGAUGAGGUAAGCGGAAUUUCCGGUGUAGCGGUGAAAUGCGUAGAUAGCUGAAGGAACACCAGUGGCGAAAGCGGCUCCCUGGUCCAGCACUGACGUUCAGGCACGAAAGCGUGGGGAGCAAACAGGAUUAGAUACCCCAGUAGUC